CGCACAUUGCGCCCCUUGGUAUUCCGGGGGGCAUGCCUGUUCGAGCGUCAUUUCAACCCCUCAAGCUUGGCUUGGUCAUGGGCAUCUGUUUCCACCAAACAGGCCUGAAAAUUAGUGGCGGCUUAACUAAACUUCAAGCGUAGUAAACUCAUCAGCCUCGCUCUGGACCGUUUAGCCUUUAGGCCGGCCUGACCCCCAAAUUUUUCCGUCAUUGACCUCGGAUCAGGUAGGGAUACCCGCUGAACUUAA
rnacentral:misc_RNA from 1 species